GGGGCAGUAGCUCAAUUGGGAGAGCGCCUCGGUCGCAUCGAGGAGGUUAUGAGUUCGAGUCUCAUCUGCUCCA
rnacentral:tRNA from 1 species